ACAACUCAAAGGGUGGUUGACAUCCACGUUUACACUCAAUUCUAUUUGAUAUAUAAAUAAGUUAUUUUUUUUCAAAUUAGCAAAAAAAAGAUUACUACAAAGGGCUUCAGAUGUAGGGUACUAGAUUAUUUUACAAGUUUUGAGACUCAUUCAAAUAGUCUUCUCUAAACUUAGAACAGGGAUGGUCCUUAGAUUUGCAUAACAAUGUACAGGUCUUUGUUAAACUUAAAUGGGGACCUUGUCUCAGUACUGUAAUCCACACUCCACAUGAGAAGAGGCAGCCGGCGUCCUAAUGACCUGUAUGAUUUUGCUGUUUAAAAGCCAUGCUCUUUUCCUGUUACCAGGUUUAGUGUGUCCUGCACAACUGUCAUGUGUGUCAGUGGGGCUUGUUGGGAGCAUGCCUGGUCAUUAAUGAGGAAGAUGCUUCCCUGAUGUCGGGGGGCCAAGUGUUGUGACCCAGAGACUUAAUUAUUAAAUGUCUGGAUAUAUUUAGAAUCGGCAUGAUGACCUCACUUAAUUUCAAGUGUUUGCUAAACAGUGGCUAUUGUAGACCAGACUCCUGCUGAAGCUGAAUAGGGAAUUAUUUAGGAGGAGAAAGUUUACUUUAAAAUCCAAGCACUGCCUGCGUUCUCCCCCCAGGCACCACUGUCCCCCUGCCUCAGAGGAACUGCUCUAUGACAGGCAGCCUCUUCUGUAUUGGUCAGAGCCGGGCUCUGCCCCAAGCAGAGCUUCUGGCACAGCCAGCUUGAUCCUGGGGCUGACCCUGUUGUGUCCGAACUGGGCAUCACUACAGACGAGUGUUCAUUUGAAAGUCUCUGCUCAAACUGCAAACCAUGGCAGUGAGAGGGAACAAGCCAGAGGCUUAGGUUGAUUUUUGAGAACAAAUGGUUUCCUCGUCAGUGAUCCUAACACUGCUGGGCUUUAGCGGGCACCUGAGUGGUCCCCGUGCUCCCCCCUGUAGAGUGGGGAGAGAAGUAGACCCUGUGACACCCUGCACUGCUUGGAGGCACAUCCUGUAUAAAGCUUUUCCCUCCAGCCUCUGCACCUCGACACAUAGUCAUCAUUUCUAAGGAACUGGCAUAAAUGAUGUGCUCCAUAAGUGAUGGAUAAAUGAGAGCUCCACUUACGUUUGUUGGUUUAUUGGAAGAACGGUUUUCUAAUCAGCUGAUUGGGGGGGGGGGGGGCGGCUGGGGAGCAAACCAUUGAGAGAGUUUGCCAGAGUGGGGAUCCAGCUGGAAAACUGAAAUACCUUUAGUUUUUAGUCCUCAUUUUUCAUCUUGCCUUUGUGUGGACGAAGAACUCCCGGCGCUCUGUGUGUGCCCGCUGCUGGAUGGCAAUUGGAAGUCACAGCGUGUGUGUUACACGAGGAUCUUCACGCCAGAGCCGAAGGGGGAGAAACUUGGUAGCUUGCCCAUUAUUCUCUGCUUUUAGCCAGAGUUAAACAGACUGAUGGGUCUGGUAGCCAACAACUUGGCAACUUCCACUCCUUCUCACCUCGUGAGAUUCAGGGCUGUGAAGAGAAAUCUAGUCUAACUCCAACAGAAAUCUGUCUCUGUUAAGUAUUUUACCUUCUGUAAGUGAAGGUGGCAGAGCCAAGAUCUUUCUCUUGGUAAUUUCCCUGGCUAUAGAGUGAGACCAUUACCUUUCUAGAGAAUUCUGAGCAUUUGAAGAUCUAGGAACUGAAUUAUAUAUAAGAGUUGCUUUUCAGCUCAGUGAACUCGGACUGCUUGGCUUCACCUUGUACUAGUAGCAGGAUGAACUUGGAAGCAAAACCAAAGUGGGACAGCCUGAAAAGUGGAAGUCCUGAAACACAGCACGCACCACGUCCCUCUUUGUCUUCCUCUUGCUGGCAUUUCUUUCCCUCCCAGGUUUUGUAAGAGUAACGUUUUUGUGAAAAGCCUAUUCUUUCUCCAUCAAGAGCAGAGAGAGGUGAAACCAAAGGGCUUGCAGACACCCAGCCCCUCCAUCACGCAGCACCACCCUGCCCGAAGUCCAUUCAUGAAGAUGGCACCCCGCUGAAGGGACCUGGGUGGCCAAGGUUGCGUUUGGGGGGUGACACCUCAGGCUUCUCCCAGGGCCUCUGCUUCUGAGUGGAGGGCAGCUGCAGCAUCAGGCUGGCCUGUCCAGCUGUCCUUUACCCAGACCCCAGCCUUCACAAACUUACUUGCACUUAAAGUGAAGAGGACUUCUUCCUGCCAGGCCCCCGUCGGUGUAUUGUAUGGAAACGUGGACACUGGCCUCUCUGUGUUUCCUUGCUGUGAUACUCACUGGGAAGCUGCUGUCUGGUGUCAAGUCCAGAAAAUCAGGGAAAUUCUGAGUAGAACAGCCAUUCCAACUCAGCUUGGCCCUCUUGUUUUAGAGAUGAGCCCAGCACAGCUCCCCCAGUAGACACGGGAGGCAUUUGCUGUGCCGCACUCUGGACCUGGCCCCAGGGAGCGCGUACGCUGUCUGCAACAAGUGACCUUGGCCACAUAACAAGGUAGGCUGGUUGUGACCUGUCAUGCACACCCCUCACCCCAGCCAUUUGGUGGGUUGUUUUUUGUUUUUUGUUUUGUUCUGCUUUGCUUUUGGACAAGCACUGAAGCUCUAAAAGUUCCAGUGGUGCCUUGGCCAUGUUGCUGCCAUCUAUCUACAUGCGGCAACUCUUCGUUAUGUUAUAGUCUCUUUACUAAUCCAGGUGCGUGGGGAGGUGGGAAAAAAAGAAGACUUGGUUGCUCUGUGACAUGAGCUAAUGCUUUGGUGCUGUUUUCCUUCCCAUGUGACCUUUGUCCAGAAAUGCCCUUUCCCCAAGGCUGUGUAGACGGGAACUGUGCUGAGAUGGUGAUGGGCCCAGUUAUCUGCCCGGCAUUUUGAUGGACCUGGCCUGCCCAACUGCAGCCAGUCCCAUGUGAGAAAGUGUAUUUUAUCCUUUUUUUUUAGGUUAUGAGUUCUUGAACCCAGAAGCCACUUGAUUAUCCCCAGGGGUGUUAGAAAUAUGACCAUCAGCCCAUUGUUCGCUGACCAAAGCUCUCAAGCCUUGUGUAGCCCUGGUAGUAGCCCGGUGCUCCACAGGAGGCAGGCUUUCUGUCAGCCCUGGGGUGAGACCACAUUCACGAUCAUUCUUUCUGUUCUGCAGAAAGUGGGUUUUAGCUGAGACGCUGCUACUGAACAGGAAUUGCAACCCUGUAGGUAAAGUGUGCUCUGGGGGAGGCAGAAGUUCUAGUCCUUAGGAAAAGAAAGUAUCUGUCCAGGGUGGGGAGGGGCCAGCCAGGUGUCCCCCACUAAAAUAGGUUAGUGGAACGUGCUUGCGGGAGAAUGCCCCGGAUGAGGAAAGGGCCAAAGACAGCAAGCUGUAAAUGAUUGUGGAUUCGCUUUUUGUAAGUGGAAAUAUACUUUCACUGGCUCAUUUGUAAUCAGAAAUUAGUGUAAUGAAAAAAUCAAAUGUGUAAUGAUAGGUGGCAGUGCUCAGUGGGACUUAAACCAUUGUGUUUUUCUUCAAAGGAUAAAUAACCUACAGUGUUUUAUUUCUAAAUAUCUAGAAGGUACAAACUAAAGAAGUGAGAUCAAAGAUGAGAAUUGCAAAUGCCUGGGUGAUUUCCAGGUGGUAGCCCAGGUGCCAGUUUUCACCCUUCGCCACAGGUAGAUGCAUUCUUGCUCUUUCUACAGGCUGGGUCUCCAAGUGUGAUGUGGGACCAGCCAAGGUGGUAUUGCCCGGGAGCUUGCUAGAAAUGCAGGUUGUCAGGCCCCACACCUGCUGGAUCACAAACUCUGGGGAGUGCACAAGCCUUCCAAGGGGGUUCUGACGCCCACUCUAGUUUCAGAAUCACUGCUAUUGCGUCGUGGAAUUUAGGCUACAGUAAACCAUCCCUGCAUAUUAAAACCUCUUCCACAGCUUUGAGUGUAAUCCUGACAUUAAACAAACUGAUGACACUAUACACUUGAAAACUUUUUAAAAAUACUUGUGUAAGAAAAAUCUCAACUAGCCGUCUUUCAAAGUGGUAUUUUUACACCCUGAAGUCUAUCAGUAAUGUUUCUUACUUCUGCUCUUGAAAUCAUGUUACAGCUGUACAAAGAACACUGUUCAGUAUUAAAAGAGAAAUGGAGAGAC
rnacentral:lncRNA from 1 species